GAAUAUUGCACAAUGGGGGAAACCCUGAUGCAGCCAUGCCGCGUGUGUGAAGAAGGCCUUCGGGUUGUAAAGCACUUUCAGUGGUGAGGAAGGUUGGUAGUUUAAUACGCUACCAAAUUGACGUUAGCCACAGAAGAAGCACCGGCUAACUCCGUGCCAGCAGCCGCGGUAAUACGGAGGGUGCGAGCGUUAAUCGGAAUUACUGGGCGUAAAGCGUACGUAGGCGGCUUAUUAAGCAAGAUGUGAAAGCCCCGGGCUCAACCUGGGAAUUGCAUUUUGAACUGGUAGGCUCGAGUUUUGAAGAGGGUGGUAGAAUUUCCAGUGUAGCGGUGAAAUGCGUAGAUAUUGGAAGGAAUACCAGUGGCGAAAGCGACUUCCUGGACCAAUACUGACGCUCAUGUGCGAAAGCGCGGGGAGCAAACAGG
rnacentral:rRNA from 1 species